rnacentral:rRNA from 1 species
AACGCGAAGAACCUUACCUGGGCUUGACAUCCUCUGAUCAUCUAGGAGACUAGGUUUCCGGGCAACCGGACAGAGAGACAGGUGCUGCAUGGCUGUCGUCAGCUCGUGUCGUGAGAUGUUGGGUUAAGUCCCGCAACGAGCGCAACCCUUAUUACCAGUUGCCAUCAUUAAGUUGGGCACUCAGGUGAGACCGCCUCGGAUAACGGGGAGGAAGGCGGGGAUGACGUCAAGUCCUCAUGGCCUUUAUGUCCAGGGCUACACACGUGCUACAAUGGCCGGUACAAACCGUCGCAAACCCGUGAGGGGGAGCUAAUCGGAAAAAGCCGGCCUCAGUUCGGAUUGUAGUCUGCAACUCGACUACAUGAAGCUGGAAUCGCUAGUAAUCGCGGAUCAGAAUGCCGCGGUGAAUACGUUCCCGGGCCUUGUACACACCGACAUA